CAUGAGUGAUGUUUUAGGUGAAGCGCCCUCUCAUAAUAUAAUCAGCUGGGCUACUGCCCUAGAUGGAAGUCCAUAGCGAGUGUGUGCCUAUAGCUAGGACCUUAUAACCUCCUUGGCCCAUAUAUUUUAGUGUAUUACUGUUACGUAAAAUUGCUUUCAUUCUGACGAGCUGUCCUUCGAAACGGGAAGUGUUCUCAGUGGAUUUCGGAUUACCGCCCCUCGAACACACCCACGGCUACGGAGAUUGGGAGGCGACUGAAUCAACUCUUGAAAAGUCUUCAGAGGUUCUUGUUUUUCUCUCUUAUUUCUAGGGGGUACAGACCAAUCCUUGCCAUGACUGAAUCGAUGUCUGCAGGGGCUAUGAUAGCCAUAGUGAUGUCAGCGAUUCUAGUGGUCGUCGUACUUGGACUCCUCUACUGGGCGAUCCUACAUCGUAAACCUCUGUCUUGUGUGGCCUCGAAGAUGGAAGCAGGGAACGAGAAAGAGGCAGCUGCUUUUUGCGUCACCAACGUUUGACCUGGUCAUCCUGGAAUUUCCUCAAGAGAGAAGUCUUUAAUACUCCGAGUACACUGUAGACAGUUUCGUCAAAUUUUAUUCUUCAAGUUGUGUACUAUUCUGAGCGGCCAGGUUUUCCUUCAUGGUGAGGGGAGGGGGCGGGGGAGGGGGGGGGCGGGCAAAAGCUACACUUGGCACAAUUUUGUCAAAUCCGCAAAAAUCGAACAAUUAUUGCUGGGGGGUUUUCUGGCUCAUGAAUUGUUACGUUCGAUGAAAAUAACCGACAGGAAGGCUACUACGAUAGCGUGGUCUCCAUCCUUGAUAAUAAUAUGUAUCAAACUAUUUAUUUCAAUAUGGGAUUUGACUGAACUUUGUGUAUUGGGCACCGCUGACAACCACUGGGAUAGUGUUUCAGUCUUUUCCUCAGUCCACGGUUCUGGUUAACAGCAUGUUCAGAUUAAUAUGACAGUGGCAUGUCAAUUCUCUCUCUCUCUCUCUCUCUCUCUCUCUCUCUCUCUCUCUCUCUCUCUCUC